AGUGAACGCUGGCGGUAGGCCUAACACAUGCAAGUCGAACGGCAGCACAGGAGAGCUUGCUCUCUGGGUGGCGAGUGGCGGACGGGUGAGGAAUACAUCGGAAUCUACUCUGUCGUGGGGGAUAACGUAGGGAAACUUACGCUAAUACCGCAUACGACCUAAGGGUGAAAGCAGGGGACCUUCGGGCCUUGCGCGAUUGAAUGAGCCGAUGUCGGAUUAGCUAGUUGGCGGGGUAAAGGCCCACCAAGGCGACGAUCCGUAGCUGGUCUGAGAGGAUGAUCAGCCACACUGGAACUGAGACACGGUCCAGACUCCUACGGGAGGCAGCAGUGGGGAAUAUUGGACAAUGGGCGCAAGCCUGAUCCAGCCAUACCGCGUGGGUGAAGAAGGCCUUCGGGUUGUAAAGCCCUUUUGUUGGGAAAGAAAUCCAGCUGGCUAAUACCCGGUUGGGAUGACGGUACCCAAAGAAUAAGCACCGGCUAACUUCAUGCCAGCCGCCGCAGUAA
rnacentral:rRNA from 1 species